rnacentral:rRNA from 1 species
UGCCAGCAGCCGCGGUAAUACGUAGGGUGCGAGCGUUAAUCGGAAUUACUGGGCGUAAAGCGCACGUAGGUGGAUGCUAUAGUCGGAUGUGAAAGCCCUGGGCUUAACCUAGGAACUGCACCCGAUACUGGGCGUCUAGAGUAUAGUAGAGGGAAGUGGAAUUUCCGGUGUAGCGGUGAAAUGCGUAGAUAUCGGAAGGAACACCAGUGGCGAAGGCGACUUCCUGGACUAAUACUGACACUGAGGUGCGAAAGCGUGGGGAGCAAACAGGAUUAGAUA